CCGACCUUAGCUCAGUUGGAAGAGCGCGAGACUGUAAUGGAUAAAUUCAUCUUGAGGUCGCCUGUUCGAGCCAGGCAGGUCGGA
rfam:Paxillus rubicundulus Ve08.2h10 scaffold_805_c1, whole genome shotgun sequence.